rnacentral:rRNA from 1 species
AACGAACGCUGGCGGCAGGCUUAACACAUGCAAGUCGAGCGCCCCGCAAGGGGAGCGGCAGACGGGUGAGUAACGCGUGGGAAUCUACUCAUCUCUACGGAAUAACGCAUGGAAACGUGUGCUAAUACCGUAUACGUCCUUCGGGAGAAAGAUUUAUCGGAGAUGGAUGAGCCCGCGUUGGAUUAGCUAGUUGGUGGGGUAAAGGCCUACCAAGGCGAGGAUCCAUAGCUGGUCUGAGAGGAUGAUCAGCCACACUGGGACUGAGACACGGCCCAGACUCCUACGGGAGGCAGCAGUGGGGAAUAUUGGACAAUGGGCGCAAGCCUGAUCCAGCCAUGCCGCGUGAGUGAUGAAGGCCCUAGGGUUGUAAAGCUCUUUCACCGGUGAAGAUAAUGACGGUAACCGGAGAAGAAGCCCCGGCUAACUUCGUGCCAGCCGCCGCAGUAACAC